CUGGUUAGUAACAGAAGAGUAAUAUGCUUAACAAAUGUGGAGGCUUUUUCCCUUAGAAUAAGUUGGGGCAUUCUUGGGGCAUUUUUGUUAACUUCAUUAGCAUCAUUUUUAUAUCAGUUAUGGGAAACACUGCAGAGCAUGCCAGCUUAAUCAUUUUCCGUUUCAAGAACAAGUUGGUAUGGGUUUUCACAUCAAUUAUUUUGC
rnacentral:lncRNA from 1 species